CCACAGCUGCUUUCUUUUCUCCCGUUACAUAAAGUCUAAUAUUUGUGGAAAUGGAUGUAUAUGUUUGGAAAUUAAUGAGCCUCAGAGCAAUUGCCUGUAAAUGUGCUCUCUGCAAAUUAAUGUGUGAGAGCAGAUGCGGGUUUGCGUGAGUGUGUAUGAGUGUGUGUGUAGGGGCUGAGGGUCUGUUCCGAACCGCUUGUGCUUUACAGGGUGUCCUUGCCGAGUCAACAAGACUAAUCUGCGCUCCGGCCUUGCACCGAGAUGGGGGUGGGUUGGUAUGACGGGUGUUUACAAGAGUGUAGCAUGCAUCGGUGUUGGAGGACACAUGCGUGCACACAAAUCUUAAAAUGUUCGACCCAUCUCAACAUCAUCCUGAUCUCCCGCAGCUGCCAAACCCGGUGGUGGACUAGAGGUCCUCUGAAAUACCUCAGAAGUGUUUCAGGUAGGACUUUGCUCCUUUUCAUCACAGAAUGAGAUUUUAUCUUCACUGAUCUAUUGAACGAUGUUAAAGAGAAGGAAAAAUCAUUUCUACUCAUGUGCCAACAUUUGAUUUUGGUUUCAUGAAUUAGUUAUAAUAAUGUUUAAAGGGGGCAUAUUUUCUUAACUCAUUUACUGCCAUUGACAACUAAAGUCGUCAUUUUAGAUCCAACCAUUCACUGCCAUCGUCAUUUGCAUUUUUUUUUACUGUUUGGGCAUCAGAACGAGCCCCCGCGCUGAGAGAACAAACAUCUCAGCUCUGAAGCCGAUCUUCAUCCGCAUACGUCACAGAUCACAUGAUCAGGAUGCAGAAAAUCCAUGUGUUAGGAGAUCGCUUUGGGCUGCUGCUGUAAAAAAAAAGUGAGGAGCGAACCGGAAAAGCGUCUGCCGAUCACAAUUCAACAACGGAUUACGAAGGAAUGGAUAAAGCUCGAAACACGCGGAUUCUUCCUGAUGUAAGAGGCGAGUCUCCCCUUUGUUUUGGUUGUUUUGGCGUCGACAUCAUCCUAGCGCGCAAUGUUCUGUGACUCUUAAAAACAGUAAAAACGGUGGGAAACGCUGGCAGCGAAGGGCUUUGGUGAUCAGGAAAUGGCUGGCAGCGAAUGAGUGAAGCUAUAAUAGCUUAAUAGUCUAUAAAAACAUUUUCUUUGCACUCUCACAAAAAGCCAUUUCAGCAGUUUCAUUAUUGACAUUUUCAGUUCCUUCUAGAAUGUGUCAAUUUAAGAAAACAAGCUAAAGCUGACCACGCCACCCAUCCCUCGUGCAUGCUGCUAUACAGUAAGUUGAGAAGCUCUGAGAUCUGGAAGGGGCUUGGAGUAAGUUCCUCUGCUCCUCCUGCAGCAGAUCUCAUAUCUGAACCUGGAGUUUUUCAUGGACCAGAGUCCUGAAGCCUACACUUCUGCUCCUUCAGGUUAUUUGAAGAUGUGACGAGCAGAAACAGACUAUGGGUUCAUUUUCUUCAAAAAACUGAGUGCUGUUUCAUGGGCUCUCUAUCAGUGCGUUCCAUUAUCUUGGGCCCAUAACUGCUUCAAGGUCAGUUUUAUCAUCCUGCUCAUAAUGGGGGUGAGUUAGCACCAGUCCAGUGGACGGCCGAUCCCAGAACAGUUGUUAAAAGCAGACGCUGACUCGCUCGGAUAGCUCCCACAGGAUGUCUGUGGUGGUGCGAGCCAAAGCCAGAUGGCAGCGUUGAGCUGGAGAGGUUCUCUAAUGCCGAGGCUCCGGGGACUCGGGUCUGCAGCUAGGACUGAAAAAGGGACACGGAGUUGGGAGAGAUGGAGGAGGAGAGACGCUGAAAGCAAGGGAGGUGUAUCCGGCGGCCUUUUAACCAAGGCCCCUACAUCAUUCAGAUUUAUGAGCUAAGGUCAUGACCAAAUCAAAACCUUGACCUAUCAGUGAGGAUGCAGAUUUAUAAGCACCUUGCACCGCUUUUGUUUAAAUCCUCCACAUUUCCUGGAGUCUGGUGUUUGCCUGAGAGCAGGAGUUGAACAGCUCAGUCUUCUCAGAGGGACUGAAGUGGGAUUGAGUUUUGGAUGUCAACACAUCAUCCCCAGCCAACUCAGCCGGAUUACAAAUGAGAGGAUCUAAUGUCCACAUUCUUCUAAUUAAAACCCCAAUGGAUGAAAAUGUUGCAUCAUUACAUUGUCUUUGUUGAGGGUCACCCUCUUUGCCCUUGGUGAAGCAAUCCUGGAGAAGAGAGGUUAAUAGCACAGAGCUCUGUGAUGCAAGCAAUUGUGCAAAUCUAUUAAUUACAGUUAUGGGAGAACAGCUGAUCCCUCUGGACCUCAGCACAAGCUUUUUCAAGCAUCAUUAUGUGGAAUUUCUCUAAUAAACAUGUGUUUAAUGUAUCUGAUGUGCAUGGAUAGCUGUAUCUCUAAUUUUGCAUGUUUAACUUAUCUUAAAUAUUUAGUCCUACAAAUGCAACAUUUUAAAACAGUAAUAGCUACUAGCUCCUUGUAGGAGGAGUUGCUUUAAGCUACUUAGACUAAUGCUAGUGAUGAGUAAGUAGCAGCUUUUACUAGCUAGUAAUAAUUAAUACUGGUAGAAAAAAUUCCCAUUGCACGCCACUUUUCUUUAAUUAGAACGUGUAGCUAGAAAAAAUAGUGUAAAGGUUUAAAAGGGAUACUUUGCAACUUUUUCAUACUUUUAAAUCAUUUUCUUGAGCCAGUAUGUGCUAAAAAGACCCUUUAGGGUUAAUGAAAAGUCACAGACCACUACUGCCCUCUGUAGCCAGAAUGCCGUAUUUGCAACUUCUGAGUGCCAGGCCGCCACCUCUUACACUUAGAAAAUUUAGAGCUUAUAUACCUGCUGCUGCAGUCUGCUUUCGGCACAUUUCCUGCACGUUAUUGAUUGUGAACAAAGCUGAUAUGUUUAACUUAGUGAUGAAUCGCUCCUGUAGACACAAAUGGAGGGUGGGGAGACAUUUCAGCUGUUAAAGUGUCAAAAAGACAAACGCACGUGAAGGAGAUAAGUUUCACUUUUGCUUUGACCACAGAUAAUUAAUAAUGGACACUAGGGGGUGCUAAAAGCAAGCAAAACUACCAAGUGUGCCUUUAAACCAUGUGUAAUGUCUUUGUAUUUACAAUCUUAAGACUUCAUUUUACUUUUUAAUUUUUUCUUGAUU